rnacentral:misc_RNA from 1 species
AUGAAGAACGUAGCGAAAUGCGAUAAGUAAUGUGAAUUGCAGAAUUCAGUGAAUCAUCGAAUCUUUGAACGCACAUUGCGCCCGCCAGUAUUCUGGCGGGCAUGCCUGUCUGAGCGUCAUUUCAACCCUCAUGCCCCUAGGGCGUGGUGUUGGGGAUCGGCCAAAGCCCGCGAGGGACGGCCGGCCCCUAAAUCUAGUGGCGGACCCGUCGUGGCCUCCUCUGCGAAGUAGUGAUAUUCCGCAUCGGAGAGCGAUGAGCCCCUGCCGUUAAACCCCCAACUUUCCAAGGUUGACCUCAGAUCAGGUAGGAAUACCCGCUGAACUUAAGCAUAUCAAUAAGCGGAGG